GACGAAGGAUGCAAGCGUUAUCCGGAUUCAUUGGGUUUAAAGGGAGCGUAGGCGGCCUUGUAAGUCAGUGGUGAAAUCUCUCGGCUUAACUGAGAAACUGCCAUUGAUACUGCAGGGCUUGAGUACAGUUGCCGUUGGCGGAAUAUGACAUGUAGUGGUGAAAUACAUAGAGAUGUCAUAGAACACCGAUUGCGAAGGCAGCUGACGAAACUGUAACUGACGCUGAGGCUCGAAAGUGUGGGGAUCAAACAGG
rnacentral:rRNA from 1 species